GAGAAUGGGGGUGAUCAGGGCACGGAGAAGAAGAAAGACAAGAGGAUGACGAAAAGGAGUGAGCGGUCGCUGUCGUAGGGACGCGGCCCCUGACCCGGAGCCGUGGGAACCACCGUGAGGGGCAGUGCCGCCCGGGGCUCCGGGCUGAGGCCGAGGGGAGCUCGGGUCUGUGGGAGAAUCGCCCGGAGCGCGAAGGGGCCCCGACAACAUCGCCUGAGCGCGGGGUACCCGGGCCGCCCGCGGGGGUGCGGGAACCAGCGUGUGCUGGAAGCCCCUCAGCUGUCAGGGGAACCCGGUGUAGUUUGUAAGCCAAAAGUCUUUUCUCGUUUUCAGGAAAGGAAGCUUGUUGCCCAACCGGCGUGUCGCUGUGCCAGCCAGCGGGGAGGCCGGGCGGGGGUGUCACCCACCCACGACCAAGCGCUGCCUGCCACAGUCUGAGGUGAAUAGUAGGUAUUUCGCGCUCUCCAGGGGCCAGCUGCUGAGGAGAAAUCACGUAUACAAUCAACAGCCUUUGUCAGCCAGGUUUCUCUUCCCCCUGCUUCUCUCCGUAUGACAGCAACCAGCUGCGAUGAAGGCUGAAGACAUUUCAAAACCCCAAGACCCAAAGUGCUACUGCUUAUACUCAGCUUUCAGCUGCACAAAAGAAAUAUUCACGUUUCUUGUGUGCAACGGUGAAAAACAGGUAUCAAAGUGAGCACCUUGCUAGUUUUCUGUGGUUUUAGGUGAAGAGUGUCUCUCAUCCUGUGAUAAAUUAAUUGUCUGUGUGGAAGGUGCUACGUGACAGGGGGAAGGUCCCCCACUGUAAAUGUACUAUACAUGGUACAGAAGAACUGAAGUACAAGAGGAAACAAACCAGGGGAGACAGGAGAAAAACCUGGGAACACAAGUCUUUAUAUGAUGCUGACAUAUGAUGAUGUACUGACUUCGUAUCUUCCAAAAUACCAGGAUACCACCAAGGUGCUGAAAUACACUGGAAAUUGCAUAAUGUGUAUAAAUAUAAACACCCCAUUGAUGAGGAUUGGGUUUGCACUGCUACUGAAUCGAUGCCAAAUAACAUAUUAAUUAUUUUACUGAUAAUAGACUCAUUCCCUUCUGCUCUCUCUGCAUUCUGAGCCUUUGAAGUUGAGGAAUCACAGCCCUGAGAGGUACC